rnacentral:rRNA from 1 species
ACGGAAGGCAGCAGUGGGGAAUAUUGGACAAUGGGGGAAACCCUGAUCCAGCGACGCCGCGUGAGUGAAGAAGUAUUUCGGUAUGUAAAGCUCUAUCAGCAAGGAAGAAAAUGACGGUACUUGACUAAGAAGCUCCGGCUAAAUACGUGCCAGCAGCCGCGGUAAUACGUAUGGAGCAAGCGUUAUCCGGAUUUACUGGGUGUAAAGGGAGCGUAGACGGCGAAACAAGUCUGAAGUGAAAUCCCGGGGCUCAACCCCGGAACUGCUUUGGAAACUGUUUUGCUAGAGUGCAGGAGAGGUAAGCGGAAUUCCUAGUGUAGCGGUGAAAUGCGUAGAUAUUAGGAGGAACACCAGUGGCGAAGGCGGCUUACUGGACUGUAACUGACGUUGAGGCUCAAAAGCGUGGGGAGCAAACAGGAUUAGAUACCCUGGUA